rnacentral:rRNA from 1 species
UACGUAGGUGACCAGCGUUGUCCGGAUUUACUGGGCGUAAAGAGCGCGCAGGCGGUCGUUCAAGUCGAGUGUGAAAGCCCCCGGCUCAACUGGGGAGGGUCAUUCGAUACUGAUCGACUUGAAGGCAGGAGAGGGAAGCGGAAUUCCCGGUGUAGUGGUGAAAUGCGUAGAUAUCGGGAGGAACACCAGUGGCGAAGGCGGCUUCCUGGCCUGUUCUUGACGCUGAGGCGCGAAAGCUAGGGGAGCAAACGGG